UCUCAAAGGACCUUGUCUUGUUCACAACUUCUUCCUGUGGAGUAUUUUAUCAAUCAGAAUAAACAUAUAUCAAAGGAAUUAAGGUCCAAUUCAUAAUAUUCAUUCCCAAGAAAGUCAAGAACGUACACUUAGCCUUAUGUUAGCCUCCAUAAGAAAAUCCAAGAUCCCAACAGUGAUCUUCUUGUUCUCAUGUGAUGGUUUACAUUUCCACCUCCACUCCAGUUUAGUCCCUUCCUUCUCAAACGUCCAAGACAGCUGUAACCAGAGACCAUUCCUUCAGCAAAAUCAUUAUCAUAUCCACAACAUUGCAUCACUAGAGAGCAUAUCGAACUAACCCGUUUAGAUCCUUCAAGAGCGUCGGAGAAGGUGUAGAUCGAGUUAGGCUGCUGAAACCCUAAGUACUGCUCGGCGAGCUGGAGAUACUCCGACACCGGCUGGUCCCACUGCGCCGCCCGCUCCGCCACCUCCUCCUCCGUCGCUUCAAUUCCGAUCAAACAGAGAAGAAUAAAAAAAUCAGUUCAUAGGAAGAAAACAAAAAAAAAAAAAAAAACAGAUUCGAAUCGUGUGGAUUUGUACCGUUGCAAAGCCAAGAGGAGGAGCCAUCGGUGAUGGAGAUAUCGAAACGAGAGGGAUGCCAAGUGCCUUUGACGAAUAUCGGAUCGGUGCUCGAGAGUACGAGUCUGAGACACGUGUGCUUCGUUCUCUCUGAUUCAACCAUCGCCACCGUCUGAUUUCCUUCUUUUUUUUUUGGCUAGUCAAACGAGGCGACGACGAUGGUUUCAGUCAAAAACAUACUCUUUUGCUUAUCUGGAGGCUGAGUCAGCAUCAAUGCUUACGUGGUUGCUGAUUCAUCCUCUGUGUUUAAAAUCCAACUCAUCAUAAAAAAAGAUAAUAUAUAACCAGGCCUCAUUCAUCGUAUAUUAAUCUCGGAGCAUUACAACAUAUUUUGGUAGUCACGUGUCAUCACUAUAUUAACUCUUAGAAUCUUUAAAAAAUAGGUUGGCUCAUCACACCUUAUAUUAUA